ACAUUUUUACAAUGUCAAAAGAUUCCCUAACUUCUCUCAACGGCGACACACGAUUCCCAUCCCCAAACAACAUCAAAAUACACAAAAGCAUCAGUUCACGCGCCUCAUUCUAGACAAGUUCACGGAAUGGUGAUCCAUGGAGUUAACAACUUUUUCUGCAUCCCUCUCUUUCUCCUGCUUUUUUCCGUACAGCAGCGCCGUUCGGUCGUGCGUCUCUGCAACUCGUCCUUGCUCGCGUGGAUGGACGCCAUGUCGAGUGCAAGGACGAGCGAGUCGAUCCAAGUCAUCCUUUUUCUCUACCCAUCCAGAUUUUGGGGGAUUAUGGUUGAAAUCGACCAAGAACAGCUGCCCCGUCCUUAAGGGGAAAAUUUUCAAAUUUUGGACUCGAAGUGAAUGUCCAAUUUUGCGCCAAACUUCUUCAAAAAUUCACCCGCCUUCCCUAAUCCGAUCGUUUUUUUUCUUUUUUUCUUUCUUUUCUAUAAAUAUCCUUUUUUCUCUUGUUUGGGUUAGAGAUUUAGGUGAAAAGGGUCAGAGUUUCUUUUCUUUGAAUUGGAAAAUUGUAGUUUGAGAUUUCUUUCAAAAUUUUAGUGAAGGCAGAAAGAGAAUUUGAGCAAAAUACAUUAGUACACAGUAAAUACACUUCAAGGAAAAGCAGGGGAAAUGCUUGUAUUGUUAAUGUUUCGGUUUGAAAAUUUUUUCUUGGCUACUGUUCGGUCCCGAGUUCUUGUGGUGAAAGUUAUUGUGUGUUCUGCUCGUCGUUCCUGCUCGCUGCUCCGAAAGAGCUGAAUUUUGUCUGAGUUCAUCAUGAACUCAAUUUCCUAUAUUCGAGUCGACCCCGGAAAAAGGCGUACAUGUCCUAAAGCCGGAAGGAUUCAAAAUUCCAAGAAGUUGAAGAUUUUGGGCUAAGAAGUCCAAAUUUAUUUUGUAAGUCUUGUAUUAUUGUUCUUUUGGGCCUAUGUCUUUGUAGCUUUUUAUUUAUUUUGUAUUAUAUUUGUUAGAACAUUAAAACAGGUAUCAUUGAAGCAGACCCGAAGCCCAAAAAUGAAAUGGGUCUGAAUACUAGUCUAGGUGGACAUAAAUCGGAUUUGGACCCAACUCUCUCUCUAUCUCCUUUCAUUUUUCGUG